CAUCCAAGGAAGGCAGCAGGCGCGCAAAUUACCCAAUCCUGAUACAGGGAGGUAGUGACAAGAAAUAACAAUACAGGGCAUCCAUGUUUUGUAAUUGGAAUGAAUAGAAUAUAAAUUCCUUUGUAAGUAUCAAUUGGAGGGCAAGUCUGGUGCCAGCAGCCGCGGUAAUUCCAGCUCCAAUAGCGUAUAUUAAAGUUGUUGCGGUUAAAAAGCUCGUAGUUUGACCUCUGCUCAGGUAGACUGGUCCGCCCUCUGGGUGAGCAUCUGGCUUGGCCUGGGCAUUUUCUUGGUGAUCGCAGCUGCCCUUGACUGUGUGGUGCGGAAUUCAGGACAUUUACUUUGAGGAAAUCAGAGUGUUUCAAGCAGGCAUCUGCCUUGAAUAACUUAGCAUGGAAUAAUACAUCGGGACUUUGGUUAUUUUUUGUUGGUUUAUAGAACUGAAGUAAUGAUGAAUAGGAAUAGUUGGGGGCAUUCGUAUUUAACUGUCAGAGGUGAAAUU
rnacentral:rRNA from 1 species